UUAUAUCAUUUUGAUUAAAAAGUUUAGUGUUUACUAUCUACCUAUUAUAAGUUACCGUUCACUAAACAUGGUAGCUAAUCUGCAAUGCUGGCAGUUGUUUUUAUACUAAUAAUAACUCAACAUAUUUGUUUAUCAUUAAUCAUUAUCAACUAUUCAAAUGUCCAAAUAACAUUUUGUUUUGCACUUUUUCAAUCACGUUUAACGUCUGCUCGGUCUGCCUUGUGCGUUAAUUUGAUAUAUAUAUAUACAUAGGCGUGUUUUGGCGAAUAACUACAUGUAGCCGGGUUACUAUAUUCUAUAAACAAGUCGGUUCGUCAAUCUUAUCUAAUCUUUUACAAUAAAUCAUUUUAAUUUAUUAAUUAAUUUUUACUAUAGGCUAUACACAUAUAAAAAGUACAUAUUUCUAUUUAGGUAUUUGUAAUUAACCACUCCCCCUCCCAUUUACUCAAUAACAGUUUACC